rnacentral:lncRNA from 1 species
CAGGAUAUCGCAUCCUGGUCCUACGUAGUCUGUCAGAAACAAACAUCAGAGUCAAUGUAGUUCGGGGAAAAGGGAGACAUGCUCGCUAGGAUAUCGCAUCCUAUGCCUACGUAUCUUCUCUAUCCAGAGAAGAAUCGGAGCACUCGUAGCUCGGCUAACGCACGGCGAAACAAAACACCAAAAAGAGACGCUGAGACGUCAAAGAAACACUCAACAGGAAACAGAAUGCCAAUACAUGGACUUAUAUCUGACUCCUAACAACGACACACAAAAG